rnacentral:rRNA from 1 species
GACGAACGCUGGCGGCGUGCUUAACACAUGCAAGUCGAGCGAUGAAGUUCCUUCGGGAAUGGAUUAGCGGCGGACGGGUGAGUAACACGUGGGUAACCUGCCUCAUAGAGGGGAAUAGCCUUCCGAAAGGAAGAUUAAUACCGCAUAAGAUUGUAGUACCGCAUGGUAUAGCAAUUAAAGGAGUAAUUCGCUAUGAGAUGGACCCGCGUCGCAUUAGCUAGUUGGUGAGGUAACGGCUCACCAAGGCGACGAUGCGUAGCCGACCUGAGAGGGUGAUCGGCCACAUUGGGACUGAGACACGGCCCAGACUCCUACGGGAGGCAGCAGUGGGGAAUAUUGCACAAUGGGGGAAACCCUGAUGCAGCAACGCCGCGUGAGUGAUGACGGUCUUCGGAUUGUAAAGCUCUGUCUUCAGGGACGAUAAUGACGGUACCUGAGGAGGAAGCCACGGCUAACUACGUGCCAGCCGCCGCAGUAA